UACGUAGGGGGCGAGCGUGGUCCGGAAUUAUUGGGCGUAAAGAGCGUGUAGGCGGUUCGGUAAGUCUGCCGUGAAAACCUGGGGCUCAACCCCGGGCGUGCGGUGGAUACUGCCGGGCUAGAGGGUGGUAGAGGCGAGUGGAAUUCCCGGUGUAGCGGUGAAAUGCGUAGAUAUCUGGAGGAACACCGGUGGCGAAGGCGGCAUCCUGGACCGACACUGACGCUGAGGAGCGAAAGCCAGGGGAGCAAACGGG
rnacentral:rRNA from 1 species